rnacentral:rRNA from 1 species
GAUGAACGCUGGCGGCGUGCUUAAUACAUGCCAGUCGAGCGAACGGACGAGGCGCUUGCUUCUCGGAUGUUAGCGGAGGACGGGUGAGUAACACGUGUAUAACCUACCUAUAAGACUGGGAUAACUUCGGGAAACCGGAGCUAACACCGGAGGAUAUUUUGAACCGCAUGGUUCAAAAGUGAGAGACGGUCUUGCUGUAACUUAUAGAUGCAUCCGCGCUGCAUUGGCUAGUUGGUAAGGUUACGGCUUACGAAGGCAAGGAGGCAUAGACGACCUGAGAGAGUGAUCGGCCGCCUUGGAGCUGAGCCACGGUCCUGGCGCCUGAGGGAGGCAGCAGUAGCGAACCGUCCGCAAUGGGCGAGAGCCUGACGGAGCAGCGCCGCGUGAGUGAUGGCGGUCUUCGGAGCGUAAAACUCUGUUAUUAGGGAAGAACAUAUGUGUAAGUAACUGUGCACAGCUUGACGGUACCUGGUCAGAAAGCCACGGCUAACUACGUG